rnacentral:rRNA from 1 species
AUGAACGCUGGCGGCGUGCCUAAUACAUGCAAGUCGAGCGAACGGACGAGAAGCUUGCUUCUCUGAUGUUAGCGGCGGACGGGUGAGUAACACGUGGAUAACCUACCUAUAAGACUGGGAUAACUUCGGGAAACCGGAGCUAAUACCGGAUAAUAUUUUGAACCGCAUGGUUCAAAAGUGAAAGACGGUCUUGCUGUCACUUAUAGAUGGAUCCGCGCUGCAUUAGCUAGUUGGUAAGGUAACGGCUUACCAAGGCAACGAUGCAUAGCCGACCUGAGAGGGUGAUCGGCCACACUGGAACUGAGACACGGUCCAGACUCCUACGGGAGGCAGCAGUAGGGAAUCUUCCGCAAAGGGCGAAAGCCUGACGGAGCAACGCCGCGUGAGUGAUGAAGGUCUUCGGAUCGUAAAACUCUGUUAUCAGGGAAGAACAUAUGUGUAAGUAACUGUGCACAUCUUGACGGUACCUAAUCAGAAAGCCACGGCUAACUACGUG